rnacentral:rRNA from 1 species
UACGAAGGGUGCAAGCGUUACUCGGAAUUACUGGGCGUAAAGCGUGCGUAGGUGGUUGUUUAAGUCUGUCGUGAAAGCCCUGGGCUCAACCUGGGAAUUGCGAUGGAAACUGGGCGACUAGAGUGUGGCAGAGGAUAGUGGAAUUCCUGGUGUAGCAGUGAAAUGCGUAGAGAUCAGGAGGAACAUCCGUGGCGAAGGCGACUGUCUGGGCCAACACUGACACUGAGGCACGAAAGCGUGGGGAGCAAACAGGAUUAGAUACCCUGGUAGUCCACGCCCUAAACGAUGCGAACUGGAUGUUGGGUGCAAUUUGGCACGCAGUAUCGAAGCUAACGCGUUAAGUUCGCCGCCUGGGGAGUACGGUCGCAAGACUGAA